GACGAACGCUGGCGGCGUGCCUAAUACAUGCAAGUAGAACGCUGAAGAGAGGAGCUUGCUCUUCUUGGAUGAGUUGCGAACGGGUGAGUAACGCGUAGGUAACCUGCCUUGUAGCGGGGGAUAACUAUUGGAAACGAUAGCUGAUACCGCAUAACAAUGGAUGACCCAUGUCAUUUAUUUGAAAGGGGCAAAUGCUCCACUACAAGAUGGACCUGCGUUGUAUUAGCUAGUAGGUGAGGUAACGGCUCACCUAGGCGACGAUACAUAGCCGACCUGAGAGGGUGAUCGGCCACACUGGGACUGAGACACGGCCCAGACUCCUACGGGAGGCAGCAGUAGGGAAUCUUCGGCAAUGGGGGCAACCCUGACCGAGCAACGCCGCGUGAGUGAAGAAGGUUUUCGGAUCGUAAAGCUCUGUUGUAAGUCAAGAACGAGUGUGAGAGUGGAAAGUUCACACUGUGACGGUAGCUUACCAGAAAGGGACGGCUAACUACGUG
rnacentral:rRNA from 1 species